GUGGUAUUCAAGUAUUGCUAUUACAAUUAAUAUGUUAAACACCAAGUUAUGAUUUAGACUUAGAUCAAGUUCUUUUGUUUUCCCUGUAUUUCACUGUAAGAUGCAUGUGUUUUACCAAUGGAAUCUUGUAUAUAUGUCUAUAACAUGUCAAAUACUCAUACUUAACUCUGCUGUGUCCUGUGUGUUUUGGUCAAAAUCAUUCUUCAUAGAAUUUUGUAUGAGACCAAAUUUACAUUGACAUGGCUUAGUCAAUAAUAUGAUCAGUAAACAUUUUCUGUGAAGUAGAACAAGCCAUCCAAAUUGUUUAUGAUUGUUCAAAUCAUAGAUUCUAUAGGCUUAUAAUAUUCAUAGGAACAUUCUUGGAAUUCCUUUUUUAGUGGCAUGUGCAAAGUUCUUUGUAUUACCUGAUUGUAAUUACUUUCCAUGCAUGUUUGACAUGGUGUAAUUCAAUUAUAAUGUAUGAAAUGUAUUUUAGUUCAUUUUCUAUUGAAUUUUUGCUUGAUUACAUUCAAUUGUAUCUUACCAAAGAUGCACUUGUGUCAUUCUUUUGGUAUUUAUUUUUUCUUGAAGUUACAAUAUUAUCCACGAGUUUCUAAAUUGAUCAUAGCAUGAUAUUGGAAGAUACAAUUUGGAGCUUAUCAUCUACCUGCUAUG
rnacentral:misc_RNA from 1 species